rnacentral:rRNA from 1 species
GAUGAACGCUAGCUACAGGCUUAACACAUGCAAGUCGAGGGGAAACGACAUCGAAAGCUUGCUUUUGGUGGGCGUCGACCGGCGCACGGGUGAGUAACGCGUAUCCAACCUGCCCACCACUUGGGGAUAACCUUGCGAAAGUAAGACUAAUACCCAAUGAUAUCCCACGAAGGCAUCGGAAUGGGAUUAAAGAUUUAUCGGUGAUGGAUGGGGAUGCGUCUGAUUAGCUUGUUGGCGGGGUAACGGCCCACCAAGGCAACGAUCAGUAGGGGUUCUGAGAGGAAGGUCCCCCACAUUGGAACUGAGACACGGUCCAAACUCCUACGGGAGGCAGCAGUGAGGAAUAUUGGUCAAUGGGCGAGAGCCUGAACCAGCCAAGUAGCGUGCAGGAUGACGGCCCUAUGGGUUGUAAACUGCUUUUAUAAGGGAAUAAAGUGGGUCUCGUGAGACUUUUUGCAUGUACCUUAUGAAUAAGGACCGGCUAAUUCCGUG